AGAGUUUGAUCCUGGCUCAGGAUGAACGCUAGCGGCAGGCUUAACACAUGCAAGUCGAGGGGUAACAGGUUUUAGUUUACUAGAAUGCUGACGACCGGCGCACGGGUGAGUAACGCGUAUACAAUUUACCUUUUACAGGGGGAUAGCCUUUAGAAAUGAAGAUUAAUACCCCAUGGUAUUAUAGAGUGGCAUCACUUUAUGAUUAAAGUUUCGGCGGUAAAAGAUGAGUAUGCGUCCUAUUAGCUAGAUGGUAAGGUAACGGCUUACCAUGGCGACGAUAGGUAGGGGUCCUGAGAGGGAGAUCCCCCACACUGGUACUGAGACACGGACCAGACUCCUACGGGAGGCAGCAGUGAGGAAUAUUGGACAAUGGAGGCAACUCUGAUCCAGCCAUGCCGCGUGCAGGAAGACGGCCCUAUGGGCUGUAAACUGCUUUUAUAGAGGAAGAACCCCCUUCACGUGUGGAGGGCUGACGGUACUCUACGAAUAAGCACCGGCUAACUCCGUGCCAGCAGCCGCGGUAAUACGGAGGGUGCAAGCGUUAUCCGGAAUCAUUGGGUUUAAAGGGUCCGUAGGCGGGCAAUUAAGUCAGGGGUGAAAUCCCACAGCUCAACUGUGGAACUGCCUUUGAUACUGGUUGUCUUGAGUUACAGUG
rnacentral:rRNA from 1 species